rnacentral:tRNA from 1 species
GGCGUCGUGGUGGAACGGCAGACACACGUGGCCUAGAACCACGUUCCCGCUAGGAGUGAGAGUUCAAGUCUCUCCGACGCUA